GACGAACGCUGGCGGCGUGCUUAACACAUGCAAGUCGAGCGGAGCGGCGAACGGGUGAGUAACGCGUGAGUAACUGCCCCCCUCUCUGGGAUAACAGUUGGAAACGGCUGCUAAUACCGGAUAGUGGGGGAUGACUCGCGGCCUAUCGGCUUGUUGGUGGGGUAGGGGCCUACCAAGGCGACGACGGGUAGCCGGGCUGGGGGGGGGGCCGGCCACAUGGGGCUGAGAUACGGCCCAAACUCCUACGGGAGGCAGCAGUGGGGAGUAUUGCACAGUGGGGGAAACCCUGAGGCAGCAACGCGCGUGCGUGAUGACGGCCUUGGGGUUGUAAACCGCUUUCAGCCAUGACGCGGUAGUGGCAGAAGAAGCACCGGCUAACUACGUGCCAGCAGCCGCGGUAAUUC
rnacentral:rRNA from 1 species